rnacentral:rRNA from 1 species
CCGGCGAGGGGAGUGAAAAAGAACCUGAAACCGUGUACGUACAAGCAGUGGGAGCACCCUUUGGGGUGUGACUGCGUACCUUUUGUAUAAUGGGUCAGCGACUUAUAUUCUGUAGCAAGGUUAACCGAAUAGGGGAGCCGGAGGGAAACCGAGUCUUAACCGGGCGUUAAGUUGCAGGGUAUAGACCCGAAACCCGGUGAUCUAGCCAUGGGCAGGUUGAAGGUUGGGUAACACUAACUGGAGGACCGAACCGACUAAUGUUGAAAAAUUAGCGGAUGACCUGUGGCU